GCUACAGGCUUAACACAUGCAAGUCGAGGGGCAGCAUGGUCUUAGCUUGCUAAGGCUGAUGGCGACCGGCGCACGGGUGAGUAACACGUAUCCAACCUGCCGUCUACUCUUGGCCAGCCUUCUGAAAGGAAGAUUAAUCCAGGAUGGCAUCAUGAGUUCACAUGUCCGCAUGAUUAAAGGUAUUUUCCGGUAGACGAUGGGGAUGCGUUCCAUUAGAUAGUAGGCGGGGUAACGGCCCACCUAGUCAACGAUGGAUAGGGGUUCUGAGAGGAAGGUCCCCCACAUUGGAACUGAGACACGGUCCAAACUCCUACGGGAGGCAGCAGUGAGGAAUAUUGGUCAAUGGGCGAUGGCCUGAACCAGCCAAGUAGCGUGAAGGAUGACUGCCCUAUGGGUUGUAAACUUCUUUUAUAAAGGAAUAAAGUCGGGUAUGCAUACCCGUUUGCAUGUACUUUAUGAAUAAGGAUCGGCUAACUCCGUGCCAGCAGCCGCGGUAAUACGGAGGAUCCGAGCGUUAUCCGGAUUUAUUGGGUUUAAAGGGAGCGUAGAUGGAUGUUUAAGUCAGUUGUGAAAGUUUGCGGCUCAACCGUAAAAUUGCAGUUGAUACUGGAUGUCUUGAGUGCAGUUGUGGCAGGCGGAAUUCGUGGUGUAGCGGUGAAAUGCUUAGAUAUCACGAAGAACUCCGAUUGCGAAGGCAGCCUGCUAAGCUGCAACU
rnacentral:rRNA from 1 species